CGGCCGUGUGCGUCCCGCGCCGAAGUGAAGCGCUCCAGACAGACGCGCCUUUGCGGGCUGCGAGAUUUCCUGCAGGUGGAAAGUAAGUGAUGAAACCUUUGAGACGAUCCUUGCAGACCAACAGAUCCAAAUCCCAGAAGGGCAAGUAGAUGAGAACAGUGAGCCGCAUGUCGGUGGCAGAGUGGUUGCAGAAUUGCGGGGAAGCAGAGGGUCUGUCGCCGCCCUAAAAGAGGCAGAAGUUACCCAGCAUCAAUCCGUGACUGCUGUGUGGGGAGAUGAAACCAAGUGCUUCCACAGCUCAGAUUUUCCUGACAGUCCUAAGCGAUGUCCUUCCAUGAUGUUUGCAGAACAACCCACGAUUCCUCAUGACAUUUGGAUAAAGUCACCUACUGUUUUUAGAACAGAGGGCAAGAGAUGGAGAGAAACGUUUCCUGUGGCCUGAAUGGUGUAAGUCACCAGUGUGGACUCUAGGACCGUGGCUGCUCCGUGUCAGCAGAGGGUACCGGAUCCCUUAAUAAAUUUACCUUUGCAUUGUG